GUGCUUUUAUCUUCAAAAUAGCCACUUCUUCUGGGAGUAGGAGGGCGUCCAUCAGCUCCUUGAUCGCGGAACCGUGCUUGAUUGGUGUACCGGCAGUGGUAAGAAAUCCUCUUGUUUUCCAAAUUAAUCCGAAGUCGUGAGCCACGCCCAGUGCAUAUCUUGAAUCCGUGUAGAUAUUGGCGCGCUUUCCUUCAGAGAUCUUGCAUGCUGAAGUCAGGGCUUGC